AUUGAACGCUGGCGGCAUGCUUUACACAUGCAAGUCGAACGGCAGCGCGGGCUUCGGCCUGGCGGCGAGUGGCGAACGGGUGAGUAAUGCAUCGGAACGUGCCCAGUAGUGGGGGAUAGCCCGGCGAAAGCCGGAUUAAUACCGCAUACGACCUGAGGGUGAAAGCGGGGGACCGAAAGGCCUCGCGCUAUUGGAGCGGCCGAUGUCGGAUUAGCUAGUUGGUGGGGUAAAGGCUUACCAAGGCGACGAUCCGUAGCUGGUCUGAGAGGACGACCAGCCACACUGGGACUGAGACACGGCCCAGACUCCUACGGGAGGCAGCAGUGGGGAAUUUUGGACAAUGGGGGCAACCCUGAUCCAGCGAUGCCGCGUGCGGGAAGAAGGCCUUCGGGUUGUAAACCGCUUUUGUUCGGGAAGAAAUCCUCUGGGCUAAUACCCCGGGGGGAUGACGGUACCGGAAGAAUAAGCACCGGCUAACUACGUG
rnacentral:rRNA from 1 species